CAGGCUACCCACUCAAGCUGUAAUGAUGACCACAUAUAGCCCGUCGUUGAUCCUUAACACCUGCAGCACAGAGCAAAAACAUAAGUGAGAGACGGCUGCGGCUCCACCAGUCAGACCAAAUUAAAAUCACCGGAUCCUGGGAAUCGACUCGAAUGUUUUCUGCGCCUUCUCCGUUUUAAUUGAAGUCACACUCGUGCGCGCCUGCCUCCCUGCUCACGCGGGCGCACGUUCCUCCAGCUCAGCGCGCGCACAUCACCAAUCAACCUGCGCUGCUGCACAGGAGAAUCCCGACAGGAGUAUCUCCCGGCGACCCCUCUGUCUUUCUGUCCUCUGGAUAUUAGCGCAGAGGGUCGCCGCCUCUUCACGCAGCUUCCUUCUGGCUCUUCUUUAUUUCUAAACUUACGCGGGCUUAGAACAGCACUUGUCCCGAUACCAUGGGUCUUUUUGGAUGAAGUGUCCUUUCGGGGUUUGGGUUUUUUUUUUUUUUCUGUGUGUGCCAGCUCUGGAAAGUUUAACUGCGUCAUGGACAUACAAGGCAAACUUUAAGAGGUUUUCUUCGCUUCUGAUAGGAGAGUUAUUUGAGAAUGAAGGCAGGUGAAUCACCCGCGGCGUAAAGCGCGCUCCUCAGGUAGACUGGACUGGAAAAGGCGACACAGACGGAGUCGUGCUGCGGAGGACUGUGUGACUGGACCGAUGAGAAAACAUGGGUCCGUUGCUGUGUGAUGGAAGGCUGACUUGCUUUCUUUUUCCUCUGCUCCUUCUCUUGCGAGCUCCAUUGCUGUUCAGCUUUGGUGAGCGCACAUGUCCCAACAGUUGCCGUUGUGAGGGAAAAACUAUUCAUUGCGAUUCCUCUGGAUUUUUAGAAGUUCCUGAAAACAUUUCAGUAGGUUGCCAGGGCCUUUCCCUGCGCUAUAAUGAACUACAUACCCUGCUACCUUAUCAGUUUGCUCACCUGGGUCAGCUCCUUUGGAUAUAUCUGGACCAUAAUCAGAUUUCAGUUGUUGACAGUCGAGCAUUCCAUGGAGUGCGGAGGCUUAAAGAGCUAAUACUGAGCUCUAACCGGAUUGCAUCUCUACACAAUUCAACAUUCCAUGGAGUACCCAACCUUAGAAGUCUUGACCUGUCUUACAACAAAUUGGAAAUACUGCAGCCCGGCCAAUUCCAUGGCUUACGAAAACUGCAAAACCUUCACCUAAGGUCAAAUGGUCUCUCCAACAUUCCAAUUCGAGCCUUUUUAGAGUGCAGAAGUUUGGAAUUUCUAGAUUUGGGUUACAAUCGAAUCAAGGCUCUUACCCGCACCACCUUCUUAGGUUUGCAGAGGCUGAUGGAAUUGCAUCUGGAACACAACCAGUUUUCAAGGAUCAACUUUUUUCUGUUUCCCCGCUUAGCCAAUUUAAGAUCCCUGUAUCUGCAGUGGAAUCGCAUCAGAGUGGUCAAUCAGGGUCUUCCGUGGACUUGGUACACACUACAAAAACUAGAUCUGUCUGGAAAUGAAAUUCAGACCCUGGACCCAGCUGUUUUUCACUGUUUGCCAAAUCUUCAAGUUCUGAACCUGGAAUCAAACAAAUUAUCCAAUGUUUCCCAAGAGGCUGUGACAGCAUGGAUGUCCCUCACCUCCAUCAGCCUUGCUGGCAACAUAUGGGAAUGCGGAGCUGGUAUUUGCCCUCUUGUUGCUUGGUUGAGAAAUUUCCGGGGGAGUAAAGAUACCACUAUGAUCUGCAGCAGCCCCAAACAUCUCCAAGGAGAAAAAAUCAUGGAAGUUACACGCAACCAUGGUAUUUGUGAGGAAAACGAUUACUUUAUGACUGAAACACCAUCACCAAUGCCAGAGCUAAUCUCUGAUGCAACUGCUGAACCCACCUUUGCCCAGACCAGUGGUUCACCAACUACCCCACCACCCAUCACCUUUGGUCCCCUUCCUCCAUUCAGACUACGACCAAUUCCUCAUCCGACCUAUCCGGGGCAUAUGAGCAAAGACACUAGAAACACAGCGAUUCGCAGUCGACCCACCCAUAUAUCACCCCCGGCGAUAGAACACAUGGCGCUACAUAAAGUAGUGGUGGGUAGCGUAGCACUCUUCUUCACCAUGUCACUAAUCCUGACAAUUAUCUACGUGCUGUGGCGGCGAUACCCAGGCGCCACAAGGUUGCUGCAGCAGCGAUCAAUGGUGGGACGGAAGCGGCGCAAAAAGAGCCCAGAGCCAGAACAGAACCUCAGCACUCAACUUCAAGAAUAUUACAUGAGCUACAACCCCGCUGCCACACCAGAGGCACUGGAGGUGCUGGGCAAUGGCACUGGUUCCUGCACUUGCACAAUUUCUGGCUCCAGGGAGUGUGAGGUAUGACGCAUCGCAUCAGCCUAAAAUAAAACCUCUAAAUCAAAACACAAGGCUCAAAAGAGAGAACGAGUACACGUGUCCACGCCCCCUACCUGGUGCCUGGCUGGGAGAUGUGCCUACGAUCCAUUAACUCUCAGAACAAGGACUGUUUCAGAUGACGCAACACAUCAAAGCCCAUCCCAGAAGUCUGGCAGGAUUUCUCCCUCAUCAUUCAGAUUCAAGGAGACGUUCAAAUUGUGCUCCAUGCAAAUAAAUUCAAGGCAACUAUCUAUACAACAGGAAAGGGGAGAAAUUGUGGCAUUUUUUUGUUAUUUUUAAGAUUUUAUAAUGUGUUUUUUUUUUAUUCAGUCUUUGGCAUUUCCCAUGAUGCUCACUUCACAAACACAUGCGCUGAUGAUCGAGGUUUCCUGUUGUGUGGACGACAGCAGAGACUAAUGAGAGCCAAGGGAUGGAUACAAUAAAGCUGGCCGCCCACUGCAAAGACCAUAACUGCUUAUUGUCUCCAUAAGGACAACAUGGCACCGUACAAAAAAUGCAAAGGGACAACUCAUUAGUGGAAAUGCAUAGGACAAGCUGCUCCAACAACCCAGGGGUGUAUAAUUUAAAAGGGGGUUUGAUAUUUUCAUUUCCUGUAAAACGUCAUUAUAUAAUCUUUCAAUUUUUUUUUUAUUUUAUAAAAAAAAGAAAGACUAACCAUGAGCUGUGAUGGUAUCUGCAAUGGAGCAGAAAAGGUGUAAAAUAAGCAGAGACAUUUGCCUUGUCUGGUGGAAAUCAUGUUGUUUGAAGCAUUUUCUCUUGGAGUGUUUUUCUAUUUUUUUCCCAAAUGAAAUUAAAGAUGAGAAAUCCCUUUCAAUUAGAAAAACACAAGAGGGACGGGAACAGAUCAAGGACAAAAUGUGAUUUUCAGAAAUUUUGCUGUUGAUAAUGUUGUAUUUUUUUUAUGUGUUUGAGCAACAAAUACCAAAGAGCCAAAUUAAUGUUUCUUUGCUUUUGGCUCACCUUAGCAUAUAGGUGCAUCUAAAAAAAAUCAUCAUUACCAUUGAAACGUUAAUUUGUGUCCCUUCAACUCACAAAAUGAAACUCUGGACUUCAUGAUAGCUUCAAUAUACUAAUUGAAGUGUUUAGUAUCACCAAAAGUUAGAAUAGUGCAUGGGAUCAAUGUGAAAAGAAUUUCUAAAAGAGAAAUACUAUGGUUUUGCCUUCAUGGGGAUCAUGCUGAUUUGUUAGUUGCCCAGCAGAUGGUUAUAAGCCGCCUCUACAAGAAAAAUAAGCCAGAAAAGGUCAUUACCAAAGAAGCAGGUUGAUUGCAGAGUGCUGCAUACAAAGAAAUAAUUGGGAAGUUUAGUGCAAGGAAAAUGUUUCAGACAGCCAUGGAGAAGUCGUGAGGCAAAGCCCAUUAAAAAGUGUAUGGAGAGGGUGUGGAUUGUGGGUGCAGUCAGUCCUUUAGGAGUUACCCAACAGACAAUCCAAGUAAAUGGGCUCAAACUGCAGCAUCUGGUUAAGACUGUCCUGAUCCAGUAGCAGCACCUUACUUAGAUUGAGUAUAAGUAUUUACUGCAUGACAUAUAAUACUUUUUAUUAGACUAGGGAUGGGAUGGUUUAUGAAAACCGUCCGAACCGUUCGGUUCGACUGUCUCGGUUCGGUUCGCGUGUGUUGCGUUCGGUUCAUGCGCUGCUCCUUUUUUUCAUAGGCGACGCGGGUACACUCCAGAGCAGAAGG